rnacentral:tRNA from 1 species
GCCUGAUUGGCUCAGUCAGUUGAGCGUGCAACUUUUGAUCUCAGGGUCAUGAGUUCGAGCCCCAUGUUGGGUG